rnacentral:rRNA from 1 species
AAUAGAUACCCUGGUAGUCCACGCCGUAAACGAUGGAUACUAGCGUGUUGGGCGCAAGUUCAGUGGCUAAGCGAAAGUGAUAAGUAUCCCACCUGGGGAGUACGAACGCAAGUUUGAAACUCAAAGGAAUUGACGGGGGCCCGCACAAGCGGUGGAGCAUGUGGUUUAAUUCGAUGAUACGCGAGGAACCUUACCAAGGCUUAAAUGCAGACUGACCGGUUUGGAAACAGACCUUUCGCAAGACGGUCUACAAGGUGCUGCAUGGUUGUCGUCAGCUCGUGCCGUGAGGUGUCAGGUUAAGUCCUAUAACCGAGCGCAACCCCUGUUGUUAGUUGCCAGCGAGUCAUGUCGGGAACUCUAGCAAGACUGCCAGUGCAAACUGUGAGGAAGUGGGGAUGACGUCAAAUCAUCACGGCCCUUAGCCUUGGGCUACACACGUGCUACAAUGGCCGGUACAGAGAGCAGCCACCCCGGCGAGGGGGANCGAAUCUAUAAAGCCGGUCACAGUUCGGAUCGGAGUCUGCAACUCGAC